AGCAACAGAGAAAGAGAGAGAUAGGAUUGUUUGAGGUGUGUAUUUGUAUACUUAUAAAUAUAAUUUGCCUAAGGCUUCUUCUUCUUCACCCUCAAACAUUAUCAUCAUCAUCUACUUGGUGUCUUUCUUUGUCUCUAAACUUUAGCUAUUUACUGACCUUUUCUUCUUGGUUUCUUUCUUUGCACCUCAACACUAGGAGUACAAUAGAAAACAACUUAUUAUAUGUCUUCUUUCAAAAAGUUACAAAUGAAAUCUAACUCUUUGGAAUUAUAUUUGUUCUACUCGUAAAUGUCUUCUAGUGGCUUUUUUUUAAGAAAUAAAAAUAUUACAUUAAACAUAUAUCAUAAUAUUAUUAUCUGAUAUAAAAUGAGGAAAACAUAAUAAUUGAAUAUACAAUAUAAAAAAAAUAAACAAUAAGUAAAUAUAAAAUUAAGAAAUGAAAAAACAAAUUAAACAUCUCUCUAAAAAAUAUAUUGUAAAAUAAAUAAUAAAUAUAUAUACAAUAUAAGAAAUAAAAAUAUUAAAAUAAAUAAAUAUACAAUAUAAGAUAAACUAAACAUAGCGUAAAUAUAUAAUAUAAGAAAUACAAAUAUUACACUAAACAUCUAAUGUAAUAUUAUCAUUUGAUAUAAAAGCAAAAAAAAUUAGAAUAAGUAAAUAUACAACAUAGGAAAAAUAAUCAAUAAGUAAAUAUUCAAUAUCAGAAAUAUAAAAAAUAAAUUAGAAAUCUAUCUGAAAAAUGUAUACUAAAAUAAAAAUAAAUAAUAAGUAAAUAUACAAUAUAAGAAAUAGAAAAACUACAUUAAACAUCUUUCUGAAAAAUGUAUAGUAAAAUUAAUAAUAAAUAAAUAUAGAAUAUAAGAAAUAAAAUUAUUACAUUAAACAUCUAUCAUAAUAUUAAAAUAAAAAUAAAUAAUAAGUAAAUAUACAAUAUAAAAAAUAGAAAACCUACAUUAAGCAUCUAUCUGGAAAAUGUAUAGUAAAAUAAAUAAUAAAUAAAUAUACAACAUAAAAUAUAUAAAUAUUAUAUUAACCAUCUAUCUUAAUAUUACUAUUUCAUAUAAAAGUAAAAUACAAUUAGACUAAGAAUAUAUACAAUAUAAGAAAUAGAAAAACUACAUUAAUCAUCUAUCUGAAAAAUAUAUUUUUCAUUUUUAUUAUUUCUAAAUAUUUUUAUAAAUAAAUAUACAAUAUAGAAAAAAUAAAUAAUAAGUAAAUAUACAAUAUAAUAAAUAGAAAUAUUACAUUAAACAUAUAUUGUAAUAUUAGAAUAAAUAAAUAUACAAUAUAAGAACAAAUACAUAAUAAGUAAAUAUACUAUAUAAGAAAUAAAAAUAUUACAUUAAAAAUCUAUCAUAACAAGAAAAAAUAAACAAUAUGUAAAUAUACAAUAUUAAAAAUGGAAAAACUAAAUUAAACAUCUAUCUGAAAAUUUAUAGUACAAUAAAUAAUAAGUAAAUAUACAAUAUAAAAAUAUAAAUGUUACAUUAAACAUCUAUCGUAAUAUUAGAUAAGUAAAUAUACAAUAUAAGAAAAUAAAAAAUAAUUAUAUAUACAAUAUAAAAAUAUAGAAAAACUACACUCAAUAACUAUCUAGAAAUGUAUGGUAAAAUAAAUGAUAAGUAAAUAUAAAAUAGAGAAAAUAUAAAUAUUACAUUAAACAUCUAUCGUAAUAUUACCAUUUGAUAUAAAAUGAAGAAAAUUAGAGUAAAUAAAUAUACAAUAUAAGAAAAGCUAAGUAAUAAGUAAAUAUACAAUAUAAGAAAUGAAAAACUACAUUAAACAUCUAUCUGAAAAAAGUAAAGUUUUUUCUGGUUUUAUUUAAAGAUAUAUGUGUAAAUAUACAAUAUGUGUAAUUAGACAUAAACAUACAAUUUAGAAUACAACGUCCAAAAUAAUAGUUAUAUAGUUAACAUUUGAAAAUCAAAAUAGUUCCGAUCGUAGAGCGGAUUAAACCCGUAGUUAAAUUAUAGUGAUUGUAAUUCAACAUUUUAACCUCUACAACGUCUUCCUUCGAGCAAGUAAAUUGUUAGAAUGAAUAUUUCACAACUCACGUUAUAAACAGACUUUUUCAAAGUUGUUUAACGAUGACAAGAUAUAAAUCAGAGUUGAACAAAACAGAGAGUCUAAACAGAAUUAAUGAGAUUCUAACAAUUUACUUUACAACCAACGUUCAAAACAGAGAAUUUUGCAAACAGCCAAUAUUUGAAAUAAGUACUCGAUCAGAGUGGUCACCUUAUUUAAUACCUUAUUAACAGUUCCCUUCAGCUCCCUUGCGCAACAGAUUGGGGAUACUCGGUUGCAGUGGCGGAGGUAGAGUGUAAGGAGGGGAGUCAUCUAACCCCUAAGAAUUUUUGUUACAGAAAAAUUUAUUUGUAUUUUUGAUGAGAAAGUUAGUGAAAUGUUGUAAAAUCAUUAUAUUGACCCCGGUAACAUAUGCUCAAUAUUAACAUAAAACCCAUAACUUAAUUUAUUGACCCGUUAAUUUUUUUGGCUAGCUCCGCCACUGCUUGGUUGUCACGUUCAGUGAAGUAGUUCCCUUGAGCUCAUCCUCCCUAAUUCAAAACAGAGUGAUCAGAACGGGGCAUUCUCAGUACCUAAAAUUAUCAUGAGAAACUACACAAUACUGUUAGUGUUUAACAUUGCUCUUCUUCUACGCCAACAAAAACAAACAAUGGUCAAGAUUACAUAUUUUAUGUAGAUCUUGCUAACAAAACACUUUGAAAUGCUUGGUUCUUAAAGCAUGGAAACAAACCAGAAAACGUUAGUGGCUUUGCAAUAAUUUACUUCACUGAAGAACUACCUUACUAGCAACCAUGUAAACGUCUAAUAUAUGAAUUGUUGCUUGCUCAGAAUAACCAAUCUACAUGAUCGAGUUACAUAAUUGGAUUUUCAACAUUUUCAACCUGAAAUUCCUAUAUCUAAGGUUUUUCAUAAAGCUAAUUCAUAACGAGAACUACACAAUACUGUUAGUGUUGGAGAUUACUCUUCCUCUAAUCGAAAAAAUUAAAAACAAAUGGUCAAUAUUUCAAAAUCGAUGUAGAUCCCACUAACAGAGAACGUUGAAAUGCUUGGUUCUUAAAGCCUGGAAAUAUAUAUUGACCUUAUAUUUUAGGAAAAAUGAUUGCUGACUACACGAAGUAUUGACCAUCACAUGGCUAACCAUGCAAACUAAAUAAUGUAUACCUACCUAUGUGAAGUAUAUAUUAUGCAAAAUAGCAUCCCUAAACUUAAUGAUAUUAUUUAGUUAACAUCACGAGUUUAAUUUCGUUAAUCCAAAAAUUGAUGUAGAUGUCAGAGAUCGUUUAAAUAUCUCGUUUCAUCAAUUAAAAUAUGACCGACUCGGCUGUAAUUUAACUAAAUGAGAUCUUAACCUACGCUUUAAAAACGUAAGAAUAUUUUUAACAAAAUCUAAUUUACAAAAUCAAUAUGUUUUAUCAUUUUUUGAUAAGUAGCGUUUUAACAUUUUAAUUUUAGUGUAUUUGAAAAAUAUAUAAUUAUAUUAAUUUUUAUCUAUAUUAAAUAUGAAAAUACGUAAGAUAUUAUGUAAUUUUGUUUUUAAUUAUUUUAAUCUGUUUUCUUAUGAAAGUUUAAGAAAACUUCUGUAAUUCAUUUGAUUAGUUGUAUGAUAUAUACUUAUUUGAUACAUUUUUAAAUGGAUGCAAUUUUAGUUUAUGAAAAUAUAAAAAUAAAAUCAUUAAUUUAAUUAAUUUUAUAUAAAACAAAUAAAAUGUUAGAGUCAGUAAAUUGACAUGAAAUAAGUUUAUAGUGUAAAAUUGAUCAAAUAAGUAUAUAUCACACAAUUAAUCAAACGAAAUACAAAAAAAAUAUUAAGAGUUAAUAACAAAACAGAUCAAAAUAAUUAAAAACCAAAAUUAAAUAAUAUCUUCUAUAAAUUUCAUAUUUAGUUAAAUUACCAUAAGGUAUAUUAUAUUUUAAUUGAUUAAAACAGAGAUUUAAACGGUUUCUGAUAUCCACAUCAAUUUUGGAUUAACAAAAUUAAACUCGAGAUGUUAACUACAUAACAUCAUUAAGUUAAAGAAUGUUGUCAUGCAUAAUAUAUACUUCUUGUUGUUAGAUAUACAUUAGUUUAAUUUGCAUGGUUAGCCAUGUGAUGGCCAAUAUUUUUGUAGUAAACAAUCAUUUUUCCUAUAUUUUAUUAUAAUAGAUUCUACAAAUAUAUGAGCAUGAAAAUAUAUUUUAAUAUACACUGAGUUCAAAAAAAAGAAAGUUCACAAAAAUUGAUAUUUAAAAAUAAAUAAUCAUCCCUUUAAACCAUUAUUUUAAACAACAUAGUAUAUAUAAAUAUAUGGAAAUUAUUAAAAUAUUUCCUUUAUAUCAAAAUAUAUUCUUAGAUGCUUACAAAAUUAGGGGAAAUUUUCAUGUUUACCAUCACUAAACAGACAUUUACAAAAAUAUUUUCUUCAUUAAAACGCAAAUGACUCUUAUACCCUUAAUCUCUAUAUAUAUAAAUAAUUAUUUAAAUAAAAUAAUUAUCUUAUCAAAUUAUACUUUUUCAAAAUCAAACUUGUUUAUAUUUUUUUUUUUGAAUUUGUUUCAAUUUUUUUUUUGAAAUUCAAAAAUUAUUUUUGAAACUAAUUUUAAAAUUAUUUUGAAAUGUUAUAAAAAAAAAUUAAAUAUUUAUUUAUGUAUUUAUUAGAACCCUAAAUUCCACAUUCUAAAAGUCAUACUCCACUCCCCAACUCUAAAUCCUAAGUCUAGAUUAGUUAACCAUAAGGUUAUAAAUAUUUUUUUCCCUCUUUAAAAGUGAGAGUAAAAGUAGUUUAAAUAAAAUUUAGUUAUGCCAAUUAAACCAUUUGUGUAUUAUUUAAAAUAUAUAUCUCACAUUUUAGUCAUUUUUAACAAAUUAUAUAAAAUCAUACAUUUUGAAUAGUUAAAGUAUGACACUAAAUAUUAUGAUUGAACAAAAUUAGUAAUAUUUUCUUCUUCUUUUUUAAGUAUAACCUUCAAGGUAGGAAAAAGUAUAAGAAAUAUUAAAUAUUUUAGUUUUUUAAAAACAAAGGAUACAAUUUAAAUAAAGUGGAAGAUUUAAAAAAAAAUUGAUAUUAUACUUCUAUGAAAAUUAAGUCAAUUUAAUAUGAUUUUAUAAUAAUUGAAACAAAAAAAUAUAUAUUAUUUCUUAUUUCAUGACCCAAACGUUAAAUACCUAAAAUUUAAAAUAGUUCUAAAAAUAAAAUAAUAAUAUUUGAUUAUGUCAUAUAUUUAGAAUAGCUAAUUGAUGAUGGUCAAAAUUACAAUAGAUAAGUUUGAACAGUGAUUUCAAUAUCUACAACUAAUUUUCAAUAAUUAAUUACUGAACGGUUACAGAGUUGAAACGUAUUAAAAAAUUAAUUAAUGUAUUAGAAAGUCCUUUUAGGAAAAGGUGAAAUGGACUAUGGCUAUAUAUAUUGAGAUACUGCAAGACUCACUUCUAAUUAUUAAAGAGCAGAGCAACAGAGAAAGAGAGAGAUAGGAUUGUUUGAGGUGUGUAUUUGUAUACUUAUAAAUAUAAUUUGCCUAAGGCUUCUUCUUCUUCACCCUCAAACAUUAUCAUCAUCAUCUACUUGGUGUCUUUCUUUGUCUCUAAACUUUAGCUAUUUACUGACCUUUUCUUCUUGGUUUCUUUCUUUGCACCUCAACACUAGGAGUACAAUAGAAAACAACUUAUUAU
rnacentral:lncRNA from 1 species